AUCGCUUCUGGGCCUUUUGGCUAGGAUCAAGUUUAGUAUCUGUUCUUAUCAGUUUAAACCAUUCUCUGCAAAGAGAAGUGCUUGGAUUUUGUGAUCGAUCAUAGGACAUGUCCUGGAGGUCUCACUGGUCAUAAAGAAAAUCAGAAUAAUGCUGUUUCUAAGUGUCCAUCAUGCA
rnacentral:snRNA from 1 species